rnacentral:lncRNA from 1 species
CCCUUCUCAGUUUGGCACUACAUCAAGGCCUUACCCGCUUUUCAUUCUCUACAAUUCGCUGAAUUUGUUCAUAGUGCAAAUUGUGGUUUCAACGAAAAGGAAGCUAUAAAAUUUGAUAUAAACUUACCUUUCGAGCUCCUCCAUAUUUCUCGUCGUUACUCUCACUGUCACUGCUGCUGCUGCUGUCAUCGACAGCAUCUUUGAUCUUCUGGAUAAGACCUCCCCUCUUGC